UACGUAGGGGGCAAGCGUUGUCGGGAUUUAUUGGGUUUAAAGGGUGCGUAGGCGGCCCGUUAAGUCAGUGGUGAAAACCAGCAGCUCAACUGUUGAUGUGCCAAUGAUACUGGCGGGCUAGAGUACAGACGAGUUAGUCGGAAUUGACAGUGUAGCGGUGAAAUGCAUAGAUAUUGUCAAGAACACCGAUAACGACGGCAGCUUGCUAACCUGUAACUGACGCUGAGGCUCGAAAGUGUGGGGAUCAUACAGG
rnacentral:rRNA from 1 species